CUCCUCCUUCUCCUGCUCCCCCUCCCCCUCUCGGGAGUCGGCUGCCCCGGCGCUAGAGGCGUGGAGUGAGUGACUGGCGGCGGGAGGAGAGCGCAAAGGAGGAGAGGAGGAGAGCAGGGGAGGAGAGAAGAGGAGAGGAGAGGGGAGGGACAGACUUAGCGGGAGGCGGCGGCGGCGAACACCAGGCCGGGCCAUGGCGGAGCGGGAGGCGGCGGCGGCCGGGGCCGGGGCCGAAGCCGGAGCCGGGGCCGGGGCCGGGGCCGGGGCUGCGGUGGCCGCGGGGCCUCAGUGAGCGCAGCGGAGGGACUUGGGGGGCUCGGGCCUGGGGAGCCAUGCCCUGGGGACAGCGCCGUGGCUGCUGCAGCCGGGCCCGGGGCUGAGCGGCUUUCGGAGGGGGGGGGGUCUCGUAGCGCACACUUGGGGUUCUUCAUCCCAGAUCAGGGGGUUUUGCUUUUGCUUUUGUGUUUCUUGGCGGGCACUGUCGGGGAAGGCGGAGGUGAGCUGGGUGGGUGGGUGGGGGGGCAUGCCCGUCUGGAGCCCGGCCUCGGGGCGCGCCCCGGCCACGGCCGCCGCCCGCACCUCCUCCUCCUCCUCCUCCUCCUCCUUCUCCUUCUCCUCCUCUUCUUCCUCCUCCUCCUCCUCCUCCUCCAGCCCCGCUGCAGCAGCAGCCGCCAACAUGGCUGCGCUCUUGAGCCCGGGAGGCGGCCGCCGCUGAGCCCUGCGCCCCUCUUCGCGGCCCCCGGCUCCAGUCCAUGGCCCCCCGGGAGCUCGGGCUCCCGCCACACUAGGGCUGCAGCUAAGUCGCCCGCCCGCCAGUCUGCCCGCUCGCCCGCCAGCCUGGGGGGCGCCCCGAGCAGCAGCAGCAGCAGCAGCGGCAGCCUCAGCAGCAGCAGCAGCAACAGCAACAGCAGCCGCCGCUGCCGCCAAGCGGUCCUGUGCCCAGCCCCGGGCAAGAGGGGUUUUUUGCCGACUCUGGGCGCAUCAGCCCCCGGAUUAGGGGAGCGCUUGAAGCCCCUCUCCUAUAACGCUUUCCUGGCCGAAGGACGCCUCUGGGGGGGGGGACGCGUGGGGAAGCCCAC
rnacentral:lncRNA from 1 species